rnacentral:rRNA from 1 species
UACGUAGGGGGCAAGCGUUGUCCGGAUUUAUUGGGCGUAAAGCGCGCAGGCGGUUCUUUAAGUCUGGUGUCUAAGUGCGGGGCUCAACCCCGUGAUGCACCGGAAACUGGGAACUUGAGUGCAGAAGAGGAGAGCGGAAUUCCACGUGUAGCGGUGAAAUGCGUAGAGAUGUGGAGGAACACCGAUGGCGAAGGCAGCCCCUGGGAUAACACGAUGACGCCUCGAGGCACGAAGCGUGGGAGCA